rnacentral:tRNA from 1 species
GUAGUUGAAUUACAACGGUGGUUUUUCAAGCCAUUAGUCCUGGUUAGAGUCCUGGCAGGAAUU